ACAUGCAGUCGAGCGGACAGAUGGGAGCUUGCUCCCUGAUGUUAGCGGCGGACGGGUGAGUAACACGUGGGUAACCUGCCUGUAAGACUGGGAUAACUCCGGGAAACCGGGGCUAAUACCGGAUGCUUGUUUGAACCGCAUGGUUCAAACAUAAAAGGUGGCUUCGGCUACCACUUACAGAUGGACCCGCGGCGCAUUAGCUAGUUGGUGAGGUAAUGGCUCACCAAGGCAACGAUGCGUAGCCGACCUGAGAGGGUGAUCGGCCACACUGGGACUGAGACACGGCCCAGACUCCUACGGGAGGCAGCAGUAGGGAAUCUUCCGCAAUGGACGAAAGUCUGACGGAGCAACGCCGCGUGAGUGAUGAAGGUUUUCGGAUCGUAAAGCUCUGUUGUUAGGGAAGAACAAGUACCGUUCGAAUAGGGCGGUACCUUGACGGUACCUAACCAGAAAGCCACGGCUAACUACGUGCCAGCAGCCGCGGUAAUACGUAGGUGGCAAGCGUUGUCCGGAAUUAUUGGGCGUAAAGGGCUCGCAGGCGGUUCCUUAAGUCUGAUGUGAAAGCCCCCGGCUCAACCGGGGAGGGUCAUUGGAAACUGGGGAACUUGAGUGCAGAAGAGGAGAGUGGAAUUCCACGUGUAGCGGUGAAAUGCGUAGAGAUGUGGAGGAACACCAGUGGCGAAGGCGACUCUCUGGUCUGUAACUGACGCUGAGGAGCGAAAGCGUGGGGAGCGAACAGGAUUAGAUACCCUGGUAGUCCACGCCGUAAACGAUGAGUGCUAAGUGUUAGGGGGUUUCCGCCCCUUAGUGCUGCAGCUAACGCAUUAAGCACUCCGCCUGGGGAGUACGGUCGCAAGACUGAAACUCAAAGGAAUUGACGGGGGCCCGCACAAGCGGUGGAGCAUGUGGUUUAAUUCGAAGCAACGCGAAGAACCUUACCAGGUCUUGACAUCUUCUGACAAUCCUAGAGAUAGGACGUCCCCUUCCGGGGGCAGAGUGACAGGUGGUGCAUGGUUUGCCGCCAGCUCGUGUCCUUGAGAUGCUGGGGUUAAGUCC
rnacentral:rRNA from 1 species